CACGUAGUUAGCCGUGGCUUCCUCUGCAGGUACCGUCCUUCCUCUUCCCUGCUAACAGAGCUUUACAAUCCGAAAACCUUCUUCACUCACGCGGCGUUGCUGCAUCAGGGUUUCCCCCAUUGUGCAAUAUUCCCCACUGCUGCCUCCCGUAGGAGUAUGGACCGUGUCUCAGUUCCAUUGUGGCCGUUCAUCCUCUCAGACCGGCUACACAUCGUCGCCUAGGUAAGCCUUUACCUCACCUACUAGCUAAUGUGCCGCAGACUCCUCCUAUACCAAUAAAUCUUUCACUACAUAAUCAUGCAACUAUAUAGCUAUAUGCGGUAUUAAUCCAACUUUCAUCGGGCUAUCCCCCAGUAUAGGAUAGAUUAUCUACGUGUUACUCACCCGUUCGCUGCUAAGUUAUAUAAAGCAAGCUCCAUAUAUCUCCGCUCAACUUGCAUGUGUUAGGCACGCCCGCCAGCGUUCGUCCGUUCGACGUCCACGGAGUCUAAAA
rnacentral:rRNA from 1 species